GCAAGUCGAGGGGUAACAUUGGUGCUUGCAUCAGAUGACGACCGGCGCACGGGUGCGUAACGCGUAUACAAUCUGCCUUGUACUGAGGGAUAGCCUUUGGAAACGAAGAUUAACACCUCAUGGUAUAUAUUUGUGGCAUCAUAAAUAUAUUAAAGGUUACGGUACAAGAUGAGUAUGCGUCCUAUUAGUUAGUUGGUGUGGUAACGGCACACCAAGACUACGAUAGGUAGGGGCCCUGAGAGGGGGAUC
rnacentral:rRNA from 1 species